rnacentral:lncRNA from 1 species
UCUUUAGAGCUCGGAUAUAGUACGAGCACGAAGCUUACGGACAUUAAUCAGUGAUAAUAUUCUCGCAUAAAGCCUGCGGGGUUUUAACCCGGAUAUAGUACUGACACAAAUGCCCUUCGGGACUUAUCACAUUUAUACACUUUCACAUCCAUCACGUUGGCCACUCGGCCCUGUCACAUAUACACUUUCAUAUUCAUCACAUCGGCCAUUAGGCCUUAUCACAUAUAUACACUUUCACAUUCAUCACAUCGGUCAUUAGGCCUUAUCACAUAUAUAUACACUUUCACAUUCAUCACAUCGGCCAUUAGGCCUUAUCACAUAUAUAUACACUUUCACAUUCAUCACAUCGGCCAUUAGGCCUUAUCACAUAUAUACACUUUCACAUUCAUCACAUCGGCCAUUAGGCCUUAUCACAUAUAUAUACACUUUCACAUUCAUCACAUCUGCCAUUAGGCCUUAUCACAUAUAUAUACACUUUCACAUUCAUCACAUCGGCUAUUAGGCCUUAUCACAUAUAUAUACACUUUCACAUUCAUCACAUCGGCCAUUAGGCCUUAUCACAUAUAUAUACACUUUCACAUUCAUCACAUCGGCCAUUAGGCCUUAUCACAUAUAUAUACACUUUCACAUUCAUCACAUCGGCCAUUACGCCAUACUAUCAUUUCAUAUUCGAAUACUCAUAAACUUACAAUAUCACAAUUUAGAAUUCAAGUAUGGGUUUAAUCAAUAGCUUAUGAGCAACUAAAACAAGUUUAUCAAGGUUCACAACAUAAUCUCAAAUUCAGCACAAGCUAUUUUUCCUGAGCAAUAGUCACUAAAUUAUUUAUAACUGGAGCUACAAAACUCCAAAUCACUUUCUGUUAAUUUUUCCUGAAUAUAGACUCGUAUAUCUUCCACCCAUAAAAUUUCCAGAAUUUUAGGUUUGGCCAAUCAAUACCAGAUUUUUCUUAAAGUUUCCCCUGUUUCACUGUUUGACUAAUCUGACCACUCUUCACUACGAAUCAAAUUUCUCAUUUUACAGAAUUCAAAAUAUGUUGUAUUUGAUUUCAUUUGAAACUAGACUCAUUAAGGAGUCUAAUCAUAUAAAUUUUAUCUUAUAACCAUUUUUGUACAAUUUAUAAUGAUUUUCUAAAAACAGAACAGGGGAUUUCGGAUUCAUUCUGACACCGUCUCACACAACUUUAAAUAUCUCAUUAUCGGAAAUUCCUUUGCUUACACGGUUUCUUUUAUAAGAAACUAGACUCAUUAAGCUUUAAUUACAUAUUUUAUUCAGCCUUUAACUCAACUCUCACAAUUUAUGGUAAUUUUUCCAAAACGCUACUGCUGCUGUCCCUUGCAGAUUUAUACAAUUUACUCUGUAAAGUUCUCAUUCACAUAUUUAAAACAUAAUAUCAUAUAUGCCGUUUUCCAUAUCAUUCUUCAUUAUAACUAAACUUAUAUGCUAGAAACUUACCUUAAAAGUUGUCGACGACUAUAAUUCUACGGCUAUUCGCUUAGUUUUGUCGUCCCUUUUUCCGACUUUUGUCCUUGAUGCUCUUGAGCUUAAUCCACUUAAAGGUGACCAAAUGCCUUAACUUCAAUUUCUUCUUUUC